rnacentral:tRNA from 1 species
GAGGAUAUAGCACAGUGGUAGAGUGCAUGCCUAGCAUGCACGAGGUCCUGAAUUCAAUUCCCAGUACCUCU